UGAACCGCAUGGUUCAAAAGUGAAAGACGGUCUUGCUGUCACUUAUAGAUGGAUCCGCGCUGCAUUAGCUAGUUGGUAAGGUAACGGCUUACCAAGGCAACGAUGCAUAGCCGACCUGAGAGGGUGAUCGGCCACACUGGAACUGAGACACGGUCCAGACUCCUACGGGAGGCAGCAGUAGGGAAUCUUCCGCAAUGGGCGAAAGCCUGACGGAGCAACGCCGCGUGAGUGAUGAAGGUCUUCGGAUCGUAAAACUCUGUUAUUAGGGAAGAACAUAUGUGUAAGUAACUGUGCACAUCUUGACGGUACCUAAUCAGAAAGCCACGGCUAACUACGUGCCAGCAGCCGCGGUAAUACGUAGGUGGCAAGCGUUAUCCGGAAUUAUUGGGCGUAAAGCGCGCGUAGGCGGUUUUUUAAGUCUGAUGUGAAAGCCCACGGCUCAACCGUGGAGGGUCAUUGGAAACUGGAAAACUUGAGUGCAGAAGAGGAAAGUGGAAUUCCAUGUGUAGCGGUGAAAUGCGCAGAGAUAUGGAGGAACACCAGUGGCGAAGGCGACUUUCUGGUCUGUAACUGACGCUGAUGUGCGAAAGCGUGGGGAUCAAACAGGAUUAGAUACCCUGGUAGUCCACGCCGUAAACGAUGAGUGCUAAGUGUUAGGGGGUUUCCGCCCCUUAGUGCUGCAGCUAACGCAUUAAGCACUCCGCCUGGGGAGUACGACCGCAAGGUUGAAACUCAAAGGAAUUGACGGGGACCCGCACAAGCGGUGGAGCAUGUGGUUUAAUUCGAAGCAACGCGAAGAACCUUACCAAAUCUUGACAUCCUUUGACAACUCUAGAGAUAGAGCCUUCCCCUUCGGGGGACAAAGUGACAGGUGGUGCAUGGUUGUCGUCAGCUCGUGUCGUGAGAUGUUGGGUUAAGUCCCGCAACGAGCGCAACCCUUAAGCUUAGUUGCCAUCAUUAAGUUGGGCACUCUAAGUUGACUGCCGGUGACAAACCGGAGGAAGGUGGGGAUGACGUCAAAUCAUCAUGCCCCUUAUGAUUUGGGCUACACACGUGCUACAAUGGACAAUACAAAGGGCAGCGAAACCGCGAGGUCAAGCAAAUCCCAUAAAGUUGUUCUCAGUUCGGAUUGUAGUCUGCAACUCGACUACAUGAAGCUGGAAUCGCUAGUAAUCGUAGAUCAGCAUGCUACGGUGAAUACGUUCCCGGGUCUUGUACACACCGCCCGUCACACCACGAGAGUUUGUAACACCCGAAGCCGGUGGAGUAACCUUUUAGGAGCUAGCCGUCGAAGGUGGGACAAAUGAUUGGGGUGAAGUCGUAACAAGGUAGCCGUAUCGGAAGGUGCGGCUGGAUCACCUCCUUUCUAAGGA
rnacentral:rRNA from 1 species